GGAAGAUCGUCAUCUCCGGUGAGGUGGCUGGACUUCAAAUCCAGUUGGGGCCGUCCCGGGCAGGUUCAACUCCUGUGAUCUUCCGCCA
rnacentral:tRNA from 1 species